UGUUCAUAGAGAAGACCAAUAAAUCCGUGGAGCGGUCGGCCAGUCAGACGGCCGACCAUCCGUGAGAGGGUGCAUCUAUCGCGGCGCCGAUAUAUAAAUCCGCAUCGGCGGUAUAUCAGGUUUUAUGGCCACGGUAGUUAUUUACGCAACGGAUAAAAAUGCACGUGGAAAACGGUCGUAAACGCGUGGAGAGGGUGGCCUGGCAGGCCGUGCCUGCAGAUACGGCUGAAAGCGGAUCGCCGGGCCACGAGGAGAGGGGAUGAAAGAGGAAAGAAACACGCGGAGUGAACAUUGAAAUUUCUCCUACUUCUUCCUUUCUUUUUUUUUCCCCCUCUCCCCUUCUUUAAGAAAGAAACGUAUCGAAAAAAGAAACAGCGAAAAAGGAGACGAGAAGCAGAAAGAGGAAGACGAAGGGGAAACGGAAGAGGGAUCGAAAGAGCUGAGUGAGAGAGAGAGAGAGAGAGAGGAGGGGUGGGCUAUCCACGUACGUGGGUAACAAAUUUAUACGAGUUCGCCUGAUUUAUUGGCCGCAAGUUUAACAACGGCCGACCGGACCCACCCCUUCCCUUCCCCAGAAAAAGGGGGUGUGGUGAGAGAGUGGCUGCCGAUAGGGGAAUUUAUGACACCCUCGUAUGGAUCCCUGCAUCUCCAAGUAACUCGACGAUCUUCCAUCGAGAUACUUGAUACAGUUGGCCAAUCAUUGAUUCGACCCGAAUAUAUAUAUAUACAUAUACAUAUACAGGCUUCGUUUCGAACACGUACUGUAUCAUAAACGUUUUAUGUGGACACGGGUUGCAACAGACAUUUAUCUUCCCGCGCUCGCUCACGGGGAAACUCCCUCGGCAGGCGGUGUCCAUUCGGAACGUUCAACUAAACUUUCCGGCUGUGUUGCGUUAUCAAUUGCACCGGCUGAAAAUUCCUUCUGUAAAAGUCUAUUCCAGCUUUUCCAGAAGGGGAAAGAAUUUCUAUUACGAACAAAUUGAGUUUUUAAGCGAUAGAGGGCUACUAUAUAUGUAGCCAGAAUUUUUUUUUCUCAAUGUAUUCGGACAUGUUAUAAAUUUUAUUAAAACUUGUAUUGGUAAGAAAUCAAAAUAAUGGAAAAUUAAUUUCUGAAAACUAUUUCUCGUUAGAAAAUUGUUUAAAAUUCACCGAAAUAUGGAUUUAUUAAAUCAAUCAAGAUUGAUUAUCAAAGAACUGAACAAAUAGAAUAACCAACCGUUGAAUCCAAAAAUUUCUUUCGAAAGGACAGAAUCGACGUAAUUAUCGUCGUAUCACUCAUUUCUCCAAUUCAUUCCGUCAAGCGCAAAAACGAAAACACGAAUAAAAUAAACACGAGAAACCCAUUACGAUCCAAUACGAUCCAACACCGGAAAAAAAGAAGAGAAAGAAAAAAAAACACUUAACACGAUACGAGCAAAGUUCUUAGCAGAAGUAGGUUCCGCCACCGCUGAACGUGACUUCAUGGCGAAUAAUUUCCCUCCCUCCCCUCCCGUCCGAUCCUCCGAACAGCGGAACCGUUUUGCAAAUAAACGAUCCUAUGUUAACGGUGAACGAAAUUGGUUGUUGGCUCGGCGAAGGGAAACGGCACGGUAUAUCCUCCCCCCCCUCCCCCACGAAGGAGAGGGAGGGUAUAGCGAAAAAAGAAUUGCCUCGGUUUAAACAGUCCGGGGGUAAGUAGAUAAGACGGGGAGGGGAGGGCGAGGCAAAGGGAUGCGAGUUGUUAUUUCAAACUCCGGGACGACGCCGAGAUUCCUAGUUAAGAAUUAGCAAAGUAAUUAAGAGUCAGGAAAUGGAGCAAAAUAAGGCGAACGGGGGGGAGGGGAGGGGGUAGCUUAUAUCUGGAACUUAUACCGAACUUGGCCGGGCAAGGGAAAAGAGUCUAACUUAGCCCCGGUCUCGGCCCAAAAGGGGGGAAGGGAGGGAGAGGGAGGAGAGGGAAGGACGUGGCCACGGCUCUUUUCCGAGAAUUCAACAACCCUCUCCCUUCUCUCCCUCACAUUCCCGAACGGCCCGCUUUCAGCCAAUUCCACGGCCAUCUCCUUUCCGGUUCGUUCGUUUAGUACGAAUCUUCGGAGCUAGAAAUGUCGGAACUUUGUUCGAAAAACUCGAGGGGAAAAAAACCAUCGGCGAGACGGGUGAAUGACUGGGCAACGAAAUUACCUGACGCCUUCCACCUUCUCUUGGACUCCUCCUUGCAUCUACCAUGUUUUGUUAAUCGAGGGUCGAAGAAUGAAAUAGAUUUGUCUUUCGAGCUCUUUGAGAAUAUAUGAAAGAAAGUAUCUCUUUGGACAGUUUUUUCUACGAGGAUAAGAGACGAGCGUCAACGUGGUUUCUUCUGUGGAUGUUCAUUCGUGUUCGUUAAUCAUCAUCGUCACGAAAAGAUUUAUUUAUUUUUUUUUUUUGCCAAGUUUGUGAUUUGGAUGGAUAUUAAGUGCGCGUUUCGUAAUGCCACAAUUUUAUCCAGUGUUCGUCGAUAUUACGAAAGCAAUUUUCGUUUUAAUAAAGUCGGCUACGAGCUCGUUGCACGAGUCCCGUUGGCGGUUCGUGGCACGAUAAAAUCCCGAUCGAAACAAUGCAAUUUCGAUAGCAAUUGUAAGUUGGCAUGAACAGGAUAUUUCAGAAUUGGGAAGAGAUUUCUCUCGGUAAAGAUUCGAUGAAAAAAUGAUACGAUUGAAUGGGACACACUUUAUCGUGAUUGGAUUGGUUAGAAUCGAACUUAUGCAAUAAACGAUGAGGUUAGUGAGCGAGCAGUAGCUUAAGAAUUUUUUUUUUUACGAUUCUCUGAAUUGCCUCGAACGAUUCUAUUAUAUACGCAUACCUUUUGUUUUUUUUUAGUAAAUAACUUACAAAUUCAAUGAUUAAGAAAUUGGAAUAACAAUGAUCGAAUAAAUAAUUCAAGGAUCUCUUAUUGCAUCCCUUAAUUGUGAAAAUAUGUAUAUUUUCACCAUCCACGCGUUGAUAUUUCAUUAAAUUCCGAUCUAACGAUAUCAAGUACAAAUUCAUCCCUCGAUCGAAUCACAUCUUCCCCAAGAUUAAUCCCCCUCAAGUAAAAAGCCGAGGAAAUAGAAUUGAAAACUGAAAAAGGGGCAUUAAAAUGAAGUGCUCGCAAUCCGUUAAAAGGCAGUAAAAGUUGAUUAAAGAAGGUGAAACAAAAGGGAGGAGGGCGGGAGGAGUUUAAAAACGUAGGCGAAAGAGUAAAGGGGAUAAUCGGAGGAGACAUCGAUGGCCAAUGGUGGGGCCGUCAGUGACAUCUGGCGGCUUUGUCUUCGGGCCAAGACACGCCUCCUUUACGAGUUGGCUUAGCUCUAUAAACGCUUUUCUUAGGGGGCAAUCGGCUCCCUUUCGCGAUUUACCGUCCAUCCUGGCCGAUCCUUGCGCCAGACAAGCAAAAGGACACCGAAUCGCGACGCGCUCUUCCGCAAGCCAAUAACGUCGCGUGCACGGAAGAAGAAACGAGCGUGGUAAAGGCUAUUGGUUGCAGCUAAGCCCGAGGAGAGGAUGGAAAAAAGGAAGUGGACUCGACAAGGACCCUUUCUCUUUCUCUCACACACACACAUUCUCCGCCCUAUUGAAAACGGAACGCGUGAUUUUACCUCGUAAAAGGUACAAACCGGUUGCUCAUCCUUGUGACGUUAAGUAAACCGGGUCCUACUUUCAGAGAUUUUGUACUAGACGUUUUAAGUGGAUGGAUAUCUUGACAUUUUCGCUGAUAAAUAAUUCUAUUCUUUUGCAACUUAACGCACAAUGAUACGUAAUAAUUAGAUAAAUGAAAAUGGACGAUUUUUACGAUUUUUUCUUUUUGUAAAUAAAUUAACAAGAUGAAGGAUACCAAGUAUCUCUGAUUUCAAAAUUAAAGGAAAGAAUAGAAGAAAAAAUAGAUUGUAUACGAAACAUUCGAAUACACUGUACAAUGGAUAUCUGCAUAAUCACGACUUUAGGAAACAUCCCCUUCCCUGCCGUUAUCGAAGGACAGUUUCGAUACGUUCUUAUCGCUUAGGAAACUUCUGAAAUUUGGCCAAGUUUGAUUGAAAUUCGGCGUGGUAUCUGAGAUACGCGCGACACACGGCGAACAUCCGCGAUCUGAUAAGAGGGACGGUUACAGGGAGGACAUGUCGAGUUGCAUCGGACAAUCCCCUCGAUAUUCCCCUGGAAAACCGAUUCUGGAGGAGUGGUACGAUUGUGUAUAUAUAUAUAUAUAUAAACCCCGUAGAUUGCGGUUGACAGAAAAUGAAGAAAAGCAAAGGCUGCGUUACACGUGAUCGGUGGGCGUUUCCAUCGUGGACGAGGAGGAAGAGUUUCGAGAUUUGAAAACGAGCCGGUGAAAAAUUCGAUUACUCGCGUGGAAGGCACGCGAAGGGUCCAGGGGCGGAAAUGAGGGCGCGUCUUCUGAUUGAUCGGGCCGAGAGGAAAUCGCCUCGAGAUUGGUUAUUAUUACCCCGUUAACGCGGUUACCGUUGCCACCAAUCGUACUUUCAAUCAUCUUCGUUAUCGAACUCCUCGCGACGAAAUCGCCUUCCAACAACCCUCCUCCUCCUCCCUUUCUUUCGACGUCGCCCGUCUAUCUUGUUCAAUCUCGCCCCACGGCCACUGUUUCUCUUUCGUCAACCUACAUUUCCUCCCGUGUCCAACGCUCGAUUUUCGAUACGAGAGUUGCGAGAGCGGAACGAACCUUGAUUAUCGAUUUGCCUCCAACACCUCCUGCGUUUCCACGAUAUACGCCUCGUUAUCUUCGAUUAACGGAGAACACCGUGUACUUCUUUCUAAAAAGAAUUCUGGAACAGGAUAUUAUUUUCACGAAUUUUAAAUUGGCCGAAGACUUUACUAAAUUCUUUACUAAAUAGAGGUUUCCAUCAACCGAUUUGAAACUCAACACGACACAGACAUUCGAAUCGUAAUCACAAAACUCAAUUUAAAACGCGUAUCUUCAACACGUACUUCCAUUUUUACACCGCGAGGAAGAGGGAGAGAAUUUUUCCCCUGUCUGUCCUCUGGAAAUCGACCUCGUUACGACACCUCGUUGACGAUUUAAAAUUCGCCACGUAGCCACGUAGCCUCCUAUUAAUAUCGAGAGAGGGGGGGACCCCGCGUAUUAUUCGUUCCGCCCUCCCCGUGCGGCCGCGCGAAACAGUGGCCGAGAUUUAUGCCCGGCUACGUGACAAAAGGCGACCAACUCGAGUCUAGUUUACAGGAGGGCGAUGCCGGGACGGAAAUCUGAAAUAUUCAAGGGACGGAGGAGGAAAGGUAUGUAUAUACUAUACGUGGGAAUUCGAGUCUGUCUGCAGCGUGUAAUAAAUUGAAACGUGCAUAUCUCCGGAGGCGGGGCCGGUGGUCGUGGUAUACCAACACGAAGCUGGCGGGCGCAGAUAAGCAACGACGCGGUAAUCCUCGGACACACUGUAUAAGUUAACGCCGCUAGACCUUGCGUAUUACAUUAACGUUCAACCCAUCGUCCCGUGGGAGGGAGGGAGGGAGGGAGAAACAGAAAAUAAAGAUAAAGGUGUGAAAGGGUGUGAUACGCGAGAUACGGGAGGAAAGCACUCGGUGGUGCUUAGCUCUUGGGUGGAAGAGAAGGAGGAAAAGAAGGAGAAAAGGGAUAAUUUCAAAAGGGUUGCUAGUCCUAACCAGGAGACAAGCUGCUACUAUCUGGUUAAAAGGCGUGCCGUACGGUUAAAUGGUCGGUGUGGUUGCACGAGUUAAAAGGUGCAAAUAGGCGAAAGCUUAAAACGACUUUUCGAGGACGGAACCAGAGGAGGGGGGGGGGGGGAGGGGCCCUUGAAAAUAUCCACCCGCGUGCCGGUAAUAAAGUUAGUGCCGAUGUGCUAGGUGGACGGAGAGAUAGUUGUUGGCGGAAUUGCGGGAAACAAAGGCGAGUCGAAUUCGCUCCUCUUUGUUGUGCAAGCGGGGGAAGGGGAAGGAAUUCUCGAAUCUUCGUGUUGAAUCACGGAUUAGCCUUGGAGACGGUAAUAGCCGUGGCAAUGGUAAAAUGACUUGGAGGGUUUUUGGAAGGAUUUGAGUUAAUUUUUAAGUCCGGAUACGAAUUUUUCAAUUGUGUCUCGAUGUAACAGUAUGAAUUGUGAAUCGUAUAAAUUGGAUAAAAUAAAAUUCACAGCCAAGAUAUGAAACGAGAUAGGAGGUUAAAUGGUUUAACUUGAAUUAGUCACGCGUGGUACGGCGACUCGGUUAGUAAACAAGGAUUAAAUAACAAAAAGAAGCCACGUAGUCAUUUUCCUAGAACGGAGCGUAUUUUUGUCUUCGUUCUGUGUGUAUACACCAAGCUUAUGCGACACAUUCGUUACGCCUAUCGUUACGAUCUCAAGAAGUCUGUUUAAUUUCACGUUCAUUAGUCACGAGGAGGUAUCCGGUGAAGAACGAGGCGUGCCUAGUUCGUGUGUGCACAAUUAAAAACGAAGUUACGUUUAAUUAAGAUUUCGUUGCAUCGACGACAAGAAAAAAUUGAAGAAAUAUCUUUCUCGAAGAAGAGGAACAAAUUUGUUUGCCCAUCGAUAAAUUCAACGCCUGAGAAUUUCCUAAGAGCGACGAGCCGUUAUCGAAAAACAUAACUAAUGUCCUCGUCAUCCGCAGCGAAUUUUCGUCGUUGAAAAGGAAAGAGGAGGAGAAGGAGAAGGAGAAGGAGAAGGAGAAGGAGAAGGAGGAGGAGGGAAAAAAAAACCAUUUUCGUUCCUCUCCUCCGCGGUCGUAAGCCGCGGUACACAAGGUGGCGAGGGUAACGUCAACGACUUAAAUCGAUAUCCAACGAUGUCGUGCCUCUCUCGUAGCAAAGUCAUCCUGAAGAAACGGUGGGCAAUUAAUCAUACGGACGCGAACAGAAGCCGUGAUAAUAAAUGCACGAGAGCGGACUGCGUGCACGGCGAGAGAGAUAUAUAUAUAUAUAGUUGAAGAGAAGGACUCCCGAAUGAGGGGGAGGCUGACGUUUCCGGAUAGAGUGACAAUCAGAAUGACAACGCGUAUCCUUUGUAACCCAGUAAUUAGUUUCCUCUGUUAUGCGUGUCCUCUAUCUAGUUACCUCCUCUAGUCAUGAUAUGAAACCGAGAAUAGCGUAUUACCGAUUCGCGUGUUUGUAUCUGUCUUUCUAAUAAUUUGUUAAUUCUUUUUUCAGGAAGACGUCUCGUUGAAUCAUCGGAUUUCAAUGAAAAUAAUAAUAAGUUUUUCUUUUCUAUUCCAAUUAAUAAUAUUUCUUUUUAAAUAUUCAGUUCUUUUUCGAAUCGAAUUAUUGAAUCGAAAUAUUCGAUGAAAAAGAAAUAAAAAAAAAAAAAGGGGGUGAAGCUGAAAAUUUGGCGAACUGCUGUUAUUAUAUUUCACAUAAAGAAUGCAAAUUCCGAUCACCGAUCGAGGAUCGAGGGUAUUUAAGCCCGGUAUCAACGACGUCGUAACACUUUACAGAAACGACGGGAACGAUAAAAUUUCAGAUUCGUCGGAUCAUUACGAUCUAAAUAUGAGAGGAAAUAUAACCCUAAUCGGCUCCGGGGUACCCGAGGGAGGUGCAAUAAUCGGGAACGAUCCCCAUACGGCCAUGAAUUAAUUCCGCCCGGAUAAUUCUCCAUUAUUCAACCCACGAAAUGAUAUUUCGAUUCGAGAGCACGCACUCGAUCCACGCGAUAGAAUUUUCUAUCGUUGUAUUCUCCGUUAUAUAAUAACGAACACCUCGAUUUAUAAAUUACACAAAUAAUACACAACCCUCUUCCAAAAAUAUUCUCCACGUAAAAAUGAAACCACCAAAUCUUCUUAAUCUUCGAUAUAAUUUAUUUCCAAAUGCAAAGGGCAAAGGGAGAAGCAGGGAAAAUACGGAGGAGCAACUUGUUCCUCGCGAGAAACCUAGCCGAGGCUUCCUAUGAAAUCCAAAGCUCUUCUCAUUUCGCGAGCGAAAUCUGGGAGGAGAGGGGACGGGGGGAGUCGAUGCAGCCACCUUAGCGGAGGACGAAACCAUUUUAAUACCGUCGCUUUAAUUACAAAUGAGACUGACGCAACGCGAAAAACAAGCUCACGACGAAAGAAGGAGGAGGGGUUUGGUUGGCCAGGUCUCAUAAAGCGUCUACGGCAUUAUGCUCUGUCCGCGGUAACUUCUCCCAAAAGCGUCGGUGCAAUCAGCAAUUCCCGCGAUACCGCACCACCGACAAGGGCAACGCCAGACGAGGGGGAAGCUGGACUGGGUAAUCGCGGCCCCGAACACGCUCUAGGGGGGGGACGACGGAUAGAAGAGGUCGAGGCAAAUCUCAGAAUUUAAUAUCCUUCGAAGAGGUAUGUAAUAUCCCCUAAAAGCCUCGCCUUCCCCUAAGAUCCCAGAUAGAUCCUGGUGUCGCGCGGAAAACUUGCGUACGCACGCAACGGGUUUCUUCUUCAAAAAAUCAUCGAAAGAGAAGGUGCUACAUGCUUUUUCGUGGAUGGCUCUGCUUAUUUUACUUUCUUGCCGAGAAACUCUAUGAGAGAAAGAGAUGGAAAGAGAUGGAAAGAAAAGAUUAUUGGUAUAUGUAUAUAUGUGUGUGUGUGUUAUUGCAAGAACGGAUGUGUAAAAAUGAUUCUGGGAAUACGUGAGAAUUUCGAAUGCGAUGAUACUUUAGAAGAUUAUGUGUCGUGCGUGUAAGGAAACACGUGUAUUGGCAGAGAAGAUAAAAAGAAGAUCUUGAUAGUGAGAAGUGCGUUUGGAGUGCGUGUUAAUAAAAUAUAUUGCUACGAUAUUGUACAUUUUCGCCUGUGAAAUUAUUUAACAGAAGAUACACACGUUCUCCUCGAAAGGAUUCUUCUUAUGCUACUUCACUUUCGAGAAAUGGAAUGAAAAUUAUUGUUAAAUACAUAUUGUAAAAAAAUCUCUAAAGUGGAGUACUACUAAAAAGUACUACUAAAAAGUGUGAGAAUAUUUCUGUACACGAGAAAUAUUUGUACGAUAUUUCGCGUAAGAUAUUGUACGUAUUAUUCGAGGUUAAAAGAAACGACGUAAUAAUACUCGCUUAAAUUGUAAACACGAGAAACGAGUCGAUCCAUUUUGUUUAUACUUUUACCGUACCGUAUUAAGCGUAUUAUAUACUGUACACGCACGCACGAAAUUUAAUCCGUUUACAAUAACAAUAUUUAUACGCGCAAAUUUCCGCUUACGAAAUCACUCGAUAAGAAGACGUGCGCGUGGACGGUUCGAUUUCUUUUCCUUCGUGCUAUACAAAUACGUAUAUAUAACGCGACACGUUUUACGUCGGAACGGAGGGAAGAUGGAAAGAACGUGGAAAGAUUAUUGAUGGGCCCCCGAUAGCUAAGAUGAAGGCAAGCGAAUCACUGCCGGUGUAAUUACGAAAUGGCUGUUAGGACGGAACGCCGUUAUUCCAGCACGAACCGAUCCAUCAUCCACCGUCGCUACGGGGUGGCGUUGAGCUGUAAACCCUAUCGUUUUUUUCUCUCUCUCUCUCUCCCUCCCUCUCCCUCCUUCCCACUCCUCCCCCUCCAGUGUUCCCGGCUGAUUUCAUUCGCGCUUUAACGCCUUCCAGAUGAUCGGGGGGAUCGCCGAUGUAAUUACCAUGAAGUGGCUUUCAUCGUGCUGCGCCCAUUUGAUGCUCUUAAGGUGAAUUCAUUGUUCACGAGCCCCCGUCCGUAUUGGGAAUCGAUCAUAGAUCACCGUUGACAUCAUCGGUGAAGAAGAGAAAGGGAGGGAAACCUUGGUCGAUAUCGGUCCGACACCUAUUUUCAAGUCGGGGGAAUCUCGUUUUUCCGCGAGACGCUGGAAAAUUGCGCGUGAAAACCAGGGAGAGACGUUUUAAUUUAUUUAACGAUGGUGCGGCGGCGAGGGGACGACGUCGUGGACGACGUUUCGAUCAUCGAACGAAGGAUAAUUUAUUUCUUCGUGAUUCGUAUCCUGCGCAUCUCGAGCGGAGGGGAAUGAAAAGAUUUCGAUUCUGACUGCUUGAAGGGACGCUUGAAAUUUUGCCACCUCCUUACAUCCUGGAGAAUUUAUCACGUAUAAUUACACGAUUCUAAUUGACCACAAGAACGUAUAUCUCAUUGGAACGAAAGGAACAACUAUCCUAAGAAUAAUAUUUCAAAUCGCGCCACUUCUUAUUGGAUCUAUAUCGGAGGGGAAAGAAUCCGAAAGGAUCGAGUCGCAUCGUAUAAUAUCAAAGAUCAAAGUUGGCCUCGCUUUGGGAGGAGAGGAGGAGGAGGAGGAGGAGGAGAGAUCUCAUCCACAGUUGCGAAGUAUGGCAAUAUUUUAAAGGUUCGAAACUUUCGGUUAGUUCGAUUCAGAUUUCCGGCCGGCAAUUCGUCUACUUCUCGACGCCAUCUCGUCUAAACGAUCUUCGCGGUGGAACGGGUCUAACCUCCGUGGUUAGAUUAAUCGCCGAUCCUCUGACGUCGGUGUGGAAGGGUGGAAGGAGCCAACAGGAGAACGGAAACUCCGGCAAAGCUUUCAAGGAUAGGCCAACGAUAGGCCAACGUAUCGAGCUCGCCAAUUAUCCUCGUAUCGAACGUAAUCCUUCCGUUUGUGCCAAGAUUUACAACCCCUAAAUCAUUCUCCUCGAUGGAGAAAGUUGGAGGACAUGGAAAAACGAAGUUCGAAAGAAGUGAGAGGAGAAAGUGAGAGACCCAAAGAAAAAGGAUAUACAUAGAUAGGCGAGAGAAGGAAGAGAAACCAGAGCAAUUUCGAAGUCAAUCCUGCCACGCGGUUACAAAUAUUAAUUCCCAGCUUCGUACGCCCUCGUUCUCCUCAUUUUUUCGAGCGGAGGGCAUCGAACGUUUAUCACGAUCGAGGCGAUACAGGCUCUGCCGCAGCACAUAAGUCAGGAUGAUUAACACGCGAGACGUGCGUGACUGGCUCUCUGAGCGAACUCGAAUCUAUUCUUCUUCUCUCUCCUAAACUUUUCCGUUUACUUUGUCUUUCGUUACGAGUUUCGGGGGCGAUUCUCUCUUCCCGUUUAUAUUACUCCCUCGAACCUCUCGCCGUGUUUCGUUUCAUUCCUCCUUUUCACGAUCGACCUCCGCCAAGCGGAGGUUGAAGUUUAAAUUCGUUGGCCAAUUAAACUCUGCUCCGCGAUUCAUUCGUCGCGUCUCGAUGGUGUAUCUUCAUCGGCUAUAUGCGUUUGUUUCGAUUUAGAUCUGAAAAUUUGUGGCGAGAAAGUUCGAGGAGAAUCUUACUUGGUAAUUGAUUAAUUUUUCAAUUUCAUUUGGAAUAUAUCAGAAUCUCGACUUUCUUUAUUUUAGAGUUUGCCUCUCUCUUUCUCGAUAAUAACAAUCUCACCUAUCACGAUGCACGAUUCAAACUAUCGCUAAAUUCUUUAAUCUUUUUCCAAAAACCGACCAUCUCUCGAAAGAGAAGCGACGAAGAGGGAGGCAAAGAACGAAAAACACCAUGCCCAUCGAAUCACUAUCAAAAUCAUAAUCCAUAUCGUUCUCGAAUGUCGCAAAGACAAUCCUAUGCGGCCGAUGAAAAAUUCGGUUCUCCAAAUUCGUCGCGGAGGAUAGAGAUAAACCGUUUAAUCGGUCUGUCACGAUAGGGGAUUCUAAUUCCCUGGCAAAGCGGGGGACGAAUUGGUCGGCUUGAAUCCGUCCGAGAAUAAAUCGGUCCGCCUCUCUAAGCCCGCGUAUUGGCGGUGUUUUCUCGGGAAAUGAAAUCUCGUUCAUAAAGCCGCUUGUCCCGCACCCGCGCCCCGGGAUAUGGAACUUUUUUCGACGGCCAUUCCGAUAACCGUUAAUGGCAUACGGUAUUUCGUACUCGUUUCCAUUUCGAAAGCCCCGCGUUUCGUACCGUUUCGAGAACCAGUCUCUCGAGAUUCUCCACGCGUGUGGCUUUUUUCCCCCCCUCCCAUAAUUUUCAAAGAUUUUCUUUUUUUUUUUCAGACGCAGCGUAAACCGAUCCCUGUCUCUGCAAACGCGACCUCUGAUUUUAAUUCCUGAUUUUUUCCUGCGAGAAUCGAUGGAGGGAACGAGAAUUCGAGGUUUGGAUUCGGAUUCGCGUCCCCUCUUCUUCUUCUUUUUUUUUCAAUGAACGUUUGAAACUCAAAAUUUGACGAAUUAUUGAUGAAAUUUGAAGAGGAGAGGAGAAGGGAGAUUUUAUAUAGAUCACGUUUCCGCAAUUCGUAAUUGGAAAUUUUAAUUUUCUUGGAAAAUUACAAUCGUUUAAACGCGUAGAAAUUUAUUCCCCCGAAAUCGUGUUGUUCGUAUCGAGCAAUUAUAGGAGAGAUAAUACGGGGACAGUUAUUUCGAAAUUAUGAAUUGCGCGAUGCGCGUGAAAAACAUGUUAAUAUUACCAAUUACGCCAAGUUAAAUAUCUUUAAAUAUUAUAGUAUAAUAAACGUCGUUUUAUCGUUCAAUCCCGAUGUUUGUGAAUUAAUGAAAUAAUCCGUCUGUUGCUCGUGCAAAUCAUGCAUGUAAACGAUGCGCGUUAAAAGAUUACAAAUUCGUCGAAUCGUUGAAUUCUCGAUAGAUACAGGAAUAAUUAUAGAAAUUUGUAUAAUUUCUAUAACUCGUUGUACUUGAUAAUAAUUAAUGCAACGGGAAACGGGAAACUUGUUUAAAAAUGUCAUGAUGUUCUUCUAUUUUCGACGCUCUUUGAAACAACCUCCCUUCGUUCCCUCCCCUCGAGUCGUUCUAUAAAAUUCAAGCUAUUUUAAUUUUUGCUUCUAGAUUUUGCUCAAUUUCAGAUGUGGGUCAAUUUGUGAAUGGGGGAAAAGAUUGGAGCAACUUUUUCUCGGAUAUAUACACAUCGUAACGUGAUGCAAAACCCGGCCUGGUAUAUUCGUUAUAACGUUGAGAAUUUCAAUUGCGAAGAUUUAUAACGACGAUGUACAAAUAUUUAAAGAUUUCCCCAAAGCAAAAUAAUGAUAUUUUUUUCUCUCGUUUCGAAAUAUAACGGAUUAUUGUUAAUAAAUAUUGCAUAUAUAUAUAUAUUUCGAAUCGAAAUUAUAUUGAGAUAUUUAAAUUAAGCCGAGUAAUGACGUGUCGUUAAAAAAAGAUCGUUCCGAUCGAUUAAUGAUAACAUUUCCUUCGUCCAAACAAACGGAACACGGUUAUAAUGUACACAAAUGGUACGUAAACGUUUGGGGGCGCAGCACGUGCUUUAUUCGCGUGCUUUUACGACCGCUUCACUCGACUUUUAUACGCGCGCGAUACGCAUCAAGGAUUUGGUACAUUGUUACAGGAAGGAUAAAACCGUGGGUUACUGUUUCGAUGAUAAAGCGAGCCACUUGCCAGCGCGAACUUUAUCAAAACUUUAUUGCACGUUCUCCUCUUCUUUCUUUCCUCUUCCUUUUCUUUUCUUCUUCUUUUUUUUUUUUUUUUGAAAAAUUGCACACACCCGGCCACUCGAAGAAGGGGAGUGCUACUUUGCGUGAGUUAUGGGCGAAACGGUAUAAAAAAAGCAUAGCCGAGAGAAGUAAGUACGUUUUAGAAAAAAAAAGGGUAAAGGUGAUAUAUAUACUGCUGGGGAUGGGAUAUGGAAAAAAUGUAGGGUUAAGUGAAAAAAUGUCGAGAUUGCAAAGUAGAAGAUUUUUUCCAACGAAAUUACGAAAUUUUUCUCGUCUUCUUAUAAAAGGGUACGUAAAAUCAAAUAUCGUGAUAAUAGGAGGCUUAAAAAAUCGUGGAUUUUUUUUAGGUAAAACGUAGAAAUUUUAUCAUCGAAAAUGGAGAAUGAAUCGCACAAUUGAAGUCAUUUUUUUGUCUCAUCCCAAUAUUUCAAUCGGUUGCAGCGGAGAUAAAAAUUUAACGUUUGAAGUGGCGCAGAAGUUAUGAAUGGGAGGGAGGGGAGGGGGCAUGUGACCUACUGACCCACAUAUUUUUUCUGAAAACGUGUAUAUUUUUCUAGGAAUGUUUGGAAUAGUGGCCAUGGUGAGACGAGAUAAUGCAAGCGAGAGUAACAAGAACGAGGAUAACAAACGAGUAAAAAUUAACCUUUCUUUUAUAGGUGAUAUCUCAGGAACCGGAAGUCGUAGCGAGACGAACAAAAAGACAUUUUCAAGAGCAAGGUUCCGAUCUUUCUAAUCCAUUCAUUAAAUUACUAUUUUCGGUUUGUUAUAAUGACUUAAAGUUCUACAAAUUUUAAUAAUAAUAAUAAUCGAGUUUCGAGAGAUAAAUUACGCGAUAAAUAAAAAUUAUUCAUUACGUUUUACUAAUCGAUCUCGCUAAUACUGGAAAUAACUUCCUCUUUUUUCUUAAACGCGUACGAUUUACACAAAUCAAAUAGCUAACCUCAUCGUCGCGUUCGAAUCGGUUUAUUCAGGCGGUUUCGUUCAAAAAACAAAAGCAUAAAUUUUUUUCCUCCGCGAUGCAAACAUGGCUCGUCCCGAUAGAAAAAACUCGAUGGAACGAUCGGGCGUCAUAAUCGCAAUCGAAUUCUGCGGAUAUCCACGACAGACACGUACGAUCUGAUCGGCUCAUCCUACCGCAGAAUAUCUGUCUGGUAUUUGCUUAAUGCAUAAGCAAUUUCCGUGUCGGAGACGCCACAGACAGCUCCCUAUAAUAACCCACUUACGGAGUCGUGGAUGAACUAUUGUCGUUUCCCGCGAACAGACGAGAUUUUCGAGUCCCUUUCAAACCCUGGGCGAGGAUCGUGAACCCACACACCUCGAGGAGAGAUCCUCUCCUCCGCGUGGAGGAAAAUUCUGUACGUACGGUGGAGGACGGCGAAUCGAAAGGAAGGGAGGAAGAGGAGAGAUAGAGAUAGAGAGAGAGAGAGAGGGGAGGGAAAAACGAGAACGAGGACGAGGCGGAUCUUGUACGAUCGCGUUCGUCACGGUUGCCUCGAGGGAAUCGUCGCCAAUAUAUCCUCGGCCGAGUUGGAGGUUAUACAGAGGGGCGGAAGUGGGAGAUAUUAGGCCGCAAAGCACGGAUUUACAAUGAAGUUUGAUUGGCAUUUGACUGUGGUUCGAUUCGUAAUGGCCGGGAUUUCGUAUUAUCAGAUUUCUAAACCGCAGAACGCAAUACCACUCUGCGCUAUCGAAGGUGGCUUAUUUACGCCGCUACGUGUCACGGAAUUUCUUCGUGGAACGUGUUUGCGAAGAAAACGAGUCACUUCGCGUGAUACGCAAAAGUAUUUUAUAUGAAUCGACGAGAGGAUUAUUUGAUAUCUUUUUUCAUAUUCGACUAUUAUUUUAUUUCGUAGAAAUAAUAAAAUACUUUUUUUUUGUACUAGAUUAAUUGUUUGUACGGUGGAUUAAUCGUUAUUUGCGCGGUGUGAAAUAUUUUGAUGGAACAAAUGAUAAUUCCCGUGGAAACAAUAUAUAUAUAUGUAUAAAAUUUUCGGAAUGGAAUAUCGAAAACUCGUGUGCUCGAUUAAUGCUAUUAUUAAAGAAUGAAAAAGAUAAGGAUUAAAUUUUAAUUAAAGCCAGAUUUCCUUUUUUUCUUUUUUUUUUCAAAAAUUUAUUUAUCGUGUUCUCUAUUGUUGGUUCAUAAAUACUUUGGCGUAAACAGGAAGGUUAUUGUUAGGAAUAUUUCAUUGUAAAUAUACGUACAUUGUGAAAGUGGUGGAACAUUAAUGUCGGUACCAACCGAUUGUUCCUUUUUUCUCUCUCUCUCUCUCUCUUUAUUUUUGUGCUUCUGAAACAUUGAAUCACAGCAAUUUUUUCCCCCAUUGUUCCAUAGAAUCGCUAUACAAUUAUAUACACGACGAAGGCUUGGAAUUAACUGGAAAAUCGUCAGAAUUUACGCGCAAUUAUUCUUUAAUUCAUUAACAUGCCUCCUGUCAAAUUCUUUCAUUUAUUGCAAAAUAUUUCCCAGUGAAGGAUAUUUCAGCUUGUCAGCGUUAAAUAUUUAAUUUCCACUUCGGUUGAAUCUCGGUUAGAUCGAAUUUUUGAAAAAGUUUUGACGGAAAAAAAAACUAAGUAUCUUUCACCAUUUUUCAAAAUAGAAAA